rnacentral:rRNA from 1 species
CCUACGGGAGGCAGCAGUGGGGAAUAUUGGACAAUGGGGGAAACCCUGAUCCAGCAAUGCCGCGUGAGUGAUGAAGGCCUUCGGGUUGUAAAGCUCUUUUGUUAGGGAAGAUAAUGACGGUACCUAACGAAUAAGCACCGGCUAACUUCGUGCCAGCAGCCGCGGUAAUACGAAGGGUGCUAGCGUUGUUCGGAAUGACUGGGCGUAAAGGGAGCGUAGGCGGUUUUGUACGUUUGGUGUGAAAGUCCUGGGCUUAACCUGGGGACUGCACUGAAUACGGCAAGACUUGAGAUAUUGAGGGGAAGAUGGAAUUGUGUGUGUAGAGGUGAAAUUCGUAGAUAUACACAAGAACACCAAUGGCGAAGGCAAUCUUCUGGCAAUCAUCUGACGCUAAGGCUCGAAAGCGUGGGGAGCAAACAGGAUUAGAUACCCUGGUAGUCCACGCUGUAAACGAUGAAUACUAGAUGUUGGUCUUAUGAUANAGUGUGCAGCUACGACAUAAGUAUUACGUCCGUCGGGUAGGUACGGUACGCGAAGAAUUAAAACUUAAAAUUAAGUAAGUUAGUACGGACGUGAGACGUAGCGACGACGACGACGAGGGAGGUAGGAG